GGGCCUGUAGCUUAGCUAGGUAGAGCGAUCGGCUCUUAACCGAUAGGUCAAGGGUUCGAACGUCCCUUCAGGCCCG
rnacentral:tRNA from 1 species